rnacentral:misc_RNA from 1 species
UCCCGGUUGGCCCGGGCAGUCUCGCAUGAAAAAUACAACAUACGAUAAGGGUUGCGCUCGUUGCGGGACUUAACCCAACAUCUCACGACACGAGCUGACGACGGCCAUGCAGCACCUGUCACUUGGUUCCUUGCGGCACCCCCCAACUUCUUGGGGGUUCCAAGGAUGUCAAGCCUCGGUAAGGUUCUACGCGUAGCGUCAUAUUAAGCCACAUGAUCCUCUGCUUGUGCGGGUCCCCGUCAAUUCCUUUGAGUUUUAGCCUUGCGGCCGUACUUCCCAGGCGGCAUACUUAUCGCGUUAGCUGCGACGCACAGGGGGUCGAUACCCCAUACGUCUAGUAUGCAUCGUUUACGGCGUGGACUAC